rnacentral:misc_RNA from 1 species
UCGAGUGUUACCACUCCCAAACCCUUUGUGAACCGUACCCAUCGUUGCUUCGGCGGGACCGCCCCGGCGCCUCUGCGCGCCGGACACGGGCGCCCGCCGGGGGCCCGAAACUCUUGCUUCUCCAGUGGUUUUCUCCGAGUGGCACAAGCAAAAUACAAUCA